rnacentral:rRNA from 1 species
UGAGGAAUAUUGGUCAAUGGGCGAGAGCCUGAACCAGCCAAGUAGCGUGCAGGAUGACGGCCCUAUGGGUUGUAAACUGCUUUUAUGCGGGGAUAAAGUCACCCACGUGUGGGUGUUUGCAGGUACCGCAUGAAUAAGGACCGGCUAAUUCCGUGCCAGCAGCCGCGGUAAUACGGAAGGUCCGGGCGUUAUCCGGAUUUAUUGGGUUUAAAGGGAGUGUAGGCGGCCUGUUAAGCGUGUUGUGAAAUGUAGAUGCUCAACAUCUGAACUGCAGCGCGAACUGGCUGGCUUGAGUACACGCAACGUGGGCGGAAUUCAUGGUGUAGCGGUGAAAUGCUUAGAUAUCAUGAGGAACUCCUAUUGCGAAGGCAGCUCACGGGAGUGUCACUGACGCUUAAGCUCGAAGGUGCGGGUAUCAAACAGG